rfam:Pristionchus pacificus strain PS312 contig4198, whole genome shotgun sequence.
UCUUCAUUUCACAAGCUCUCUCGCUGGUCAGACAAAGUGAGAUAGCAUGUGAAAUGAAGAGA